rnacentral:rRNA from 1 species
AGAGCGAACGCUGGCGGCAGGCCUAACACAUGCAAGUCGAACGGACCCUUCGGGGUUAGUGGCGGACGGGUGAGUAACACGUGGGAACGUGCCUUUAGGUUCGGAAUAGCUCCUGGAAACGGUGGUAAUGCCGAAUGUGCCCUUCGGGGGAAAGAUUUAUCGCCUUUAGAGCGGCCCGCGUCUGAUUAGCUAGUUGGUGAGGUAAAGGCUCACCAAGGCUACGAUCAGUAGCUGGGUCUGAGAGGAUGACCAGCCACAUUGGGACUGAGACACGGCCCAAACUCCUACGGGAGCAGCAGUGGGGAAUCUUGCGCAAUGGGCGAAAGCCUGACGCAGCCAUGCCGCGUGAAUGAUGAAGUCUUAGGAUUGUAAAAUUCUUACAGUUAGGACGAUAAUGACGUACCUACGAGACGGAAGCCCGGACUAACUUCGUAGUCCAGCAGCCGAC